UACGUAGGUGGCAAGCGUUGUCCGGAUUUACUGGGCGUAAAGGAUGCGUAGGCGGACAUUUAAGUCAGAUGUGAAAUACCCGAGCUUAACUUGGGUGCUGCAUUUGAAACUGGGUGUCUAGAGUGCAGGAGAGGUAAGUGGAAUUCCUAGUGUAGCGGUGAAAUGCGUAGAGAUUAGGAAGAACACCAGUGGCGAAGGCGACUUACUGGACUGCAACUGACACUGAGAAACGAAAGCCAGGGGAGCAAACGGG
rnacentral:rRNA from 1 species